CUAAAUCAAACCCCUGUGAUUCCCACCAGGAAUUUAGUGAGGGAAUGCCAGUGAGUGUCACAGCCAUGUCCUAAGUGCUUUCACCUUUGCCAUCUGUGAUGUUUGUAUUUCUUGAUGACCUUUUCAACAGUUUGUUGUUCUCAUUCUUCUGGCCAUGUGAGAGAGAUGGAAUUCUCCAAGGAAAGCUGCUUGAACAUAUGGCAAGCCUCCCAUGUCUAUUGUCGCAGUUUAAAAUGACAGGAGAAGGAGCUUUUUCAUUAGGGAAGAGCUGAGAUGAGGCUCUACAGUUCAGGCUGUGCCUGGAAGAAAGAACAAAGGCUUGACUCUUGGAUUUUAAACUCACUACAGGUGCAUAUUCAACAACAUA